GAUGAAGAACGUAGCAAAAUGCGAUACUUGGUGUGAAUUGCAGAAUCCCGUGAACCAUCGAGUUUUUGAACGCAAGUUGCGCCCGAAGCCUUUUGGCCGAGGGCACGUCUGCCUGGGCGUCACGCAUCGCGUCGCCCCCCACAACUCUCCGUAAAGGGAACUUGUGUUUUGGGGGCGGAUAUUGGUCUCCCGUGCUCAUGGCGUGGUUGGCCGAAAUAGGAGUCCCUCCGGUGGACGCACGAACUAGUGGUGGUCGUAAAAACCCUCGUCUUUUGUUUCGUGCCGUUAGUCGCGAGGGAAACUCUUUAAAAACCCAAAUGUGUCGUCUCUGGACGGCGCUUCGACCGCGACCCCAGGUCAGGCGGGACUACCCGCUGAGUUUAAGCAUAUCAAUAAGCGGAGGA
rnacentral:misc_RNA from 1 species